UUCUUUUUGUUCGGAUUUCUG
rnacentral:piRNA from 1 species